UUAUCGUUAUCCGUUGUUAUUAUAUUGACGAGUAUUAAAAUCCGUUUCCGUAAAUACGUUAUCGGUUCAUAUUUAAAAUAUACACAUGGAUAAACGCUUUGAAUAAAUAAGUUGUGUAGACGAUGAUUGAGCACAUACACGCAAUGAUCAGCUUUAAUAUAAAUACACACUUGUGUUUAUGCAUGUACCGACGUCAUCUGAAGUGGAAACAAAAGUGAUUUGAUUUUAUUGAACAAAAAAUAAGAAUAUGACAAUUAUAACUUAUAAUAGAGAAAAUACACUUUCAAAAUCACAAAAAAACAUGAAUGUCCCACGUUAAAUGAUUCCAUCUCCCUCGAGUUUUUCGAAGGCAAUACGCAAAUAAUAUAGGACGAUUCACAAUGCAUACAACACACACAAAAGACAAAUACAAGUACAACAAGCAACGCACGAACACAUCGUGUUUCGAUUAUUUACUCACAUCAUACGCUUCAGAGCCCAUGAGUUGUUUCCAAUGACGUUCGCGAAUCGCUGGGUUUUGCAGUUCGCCGACAGCCCUCAGAGAAGUUACCAUAUUCUUCACUGUAGCUUCUAAGCACGUAUAGGUGUCCC